rnacentral:rRNA from 1 species
CAGUCGCCGCGGUAACACGAAGGGGGCUAGCGUUGUUCGGAUUUACUGGGCGUAAAGCGCACGUAGGCGGAUUCUUAAGUCAGAGGUGAAAUCCCAAGGCUCAACCUUGGAACUGCUUUUGAUACUGGGGAUCUUGAGUCCGGGAGAGGUGAGUGGAACUGCGAGUGUAGAGGUGAAAUUCGUAGAUAUUCGCAAGAACACCAGUGGCGAAGGCGGCUCACUGGCCCGGUACUGACGCUGAGGUGCGAAAGCGUGGGGAGCAAACAGGAUUAGAUACCCCAGUAGUCCCUGUCUCUUAUAC